ACGGGGGGUGCAAGCGUUGUUCGGAAUUAUUGGGCGUAAAGAGCGUGUAGGCGGCUUGGUAAGUCAGAUGUGAAAGCCCUGGGCUUAACCCAGGAAGGGCAUUUGAAACUGCCUAGCUUGAGUAAGGGAGAGGGAAGUGGAAUUCCUGGUGUAGAGGUGAAAUUCGUAGAUAUCGGGAGGAACACCAGUGGCGAAGGCGACUUUCUGGACUGUUUCUGACGCUGAGACGCGAGAGCUUGGGUAGCAAACAG
rnacentral:rRNA from 1 species